rnacentral:rRNA from 1 species
AGGACGAACGCUGGCGGCGUGCCUAACACAUGCAAGUCGAGCGGAGUUAACAAGAGGAAGUUUCGGAUGGAAUUUGUAAUUAGCGGCGGACGGGUGAGUAACGCGUGAGCGACCAACCUUGCACAGGGGGAUAACGGACCGAAAGGUUCACUAAUACCGCAUGAGACCACGGUGUUGCAUGACACAGAGGUCAAAGGAGCAAUCCGGUGCAAGACGGGCUCGCGUCCGAUUAGGUAGUUGGUGGGGUAAUGGCCCACCAAGCCUAUGAUCGGUAGCCGACCUGAGAGGGUGAUCGGCCACAUUGGAACUGAGAUACGGUCCAAACUCCUACGGGAGGCAGCAGUGGGGAAUAUUGGGCAAUGGGGGGAAACCCUGACCCAGCAACGCCGCGUGAAGGAAGAAGGUUUUCGGAUUGUAAACUUCUGUCCUUGGUGAAGAGAAGAAGACGGUAGCCAAGGAGGAAGCCCCGGCUAACUACGUGCCAGCAGCAGC